AAAAAAAAAAAAAAAAAAGUCAAAUGUUAGACAAUUUUGAGCCGUGAACUUCAAAUAAGCGGAUUUACUUAUUCAAAUUUUAGUGUAAUUUUUUUAAGGAUUAAUUUUAUAUAUACUACUAAUAUGUAUACCAUCACCAUUAGAUAUAUGAUACAUGUGUAAAAUUUAAAUUUGAAAUUCAAAAAUUGCUCAUAAAUCAUCCAUCCAACCGUGAUAGUGUAUAUAAAAUUUAUUCAUUUUUUAAUGUAUAUGCAAAUUUUCAUGUAAUUGUGUCAGUUGUGUACAAUAUUCUAUGCAUUUUAUACGUCAUCUACAUUAGCAUGUUUACAUGUGUUUGAAGGAUAGAAGAUUACUUGAAAAUUUCUUUAAAAUAAUUAUUCACAGUACUUUUUGUAAUAUGAUGUAAUUGAAAUAAUCAGAUAGUUGAGAAGUUUUUUUUUUUUUUUUUAAAAAAAAACUUAGGAUACCUAUUUGUGAUGCAAGGGAAAAAAAAAAAAGAAAAAUUUUCCAUAUAAUCACAUAUCCUAGCACACUUGAAAAUUUUUGGGAAAACAUUUGCAUUUGGUAUUGAACCGCAAUAUUUGCCUUCAUUUACAUAACAAUAUAGAAUAUUGGGUUGGACUGAUGGCAUAAAUAAUUGCAUAUUCCUUUGAUUGAUUUUAAAGUCAAUUGUACGUACUUAGGGUGUGUUUGUUUGGAUUGAAAAUAUUUUAUAGAAAAUGCUUUUCACAAUUUCCUGUGUUUGGUUGCCUUAGAACUGGUGAAAAUAUUUUACGUAAUAAAUUAUUUUCCCCAUUUUGAUGUGAAACAACUUCCUUAAACGAGGAACUAAAGUUGAUUUCCAAAGCAACGCAUCCCGUUGGCAAAAUCUAAACUUCUGUCAUUUGUUGACAGAGGAACAUUCGCUACAAAGGACACGAAAAGAUACAAAAAGCGUGUUAAACAAUUUGCUGAAUCUUCACUCACCACAAACUCAUCAAUGAUUACAUUACUGACAACGUUUCAGCGCAAAUGGAAUUGUCUCCUUUUUAGCAACUUGAAUUUUCCUUCUCCAUGCGGAUUCUUUUGAAACUCCAAUUUUUUCAUCAAAUUGCCCUUGAUCUUUAUCCUUGAAAGUUUAUACUAUUUGAUUAUGAAAAUUCGAUUUAGAGUUUGUAAAUAUUACUAAUACAUAAAAAGAAUGUCAUUUCACGGAUGGAUUUCAUAAGUUGGGAUUUGUCAGUUGGUGGUGAAGUACAGUAACAAUGGGCAGAGAGCAACGGUGGUGGCAAUUAUUCAUUGACAUUUUAAUGAUAGGAGCAAAGUUUCAAAUCGCAACCAAAUACCUGAAAAUUAUGUAAAUGCAAAUCUUUUCCUAGAAGAUAAUUUCAACAAAAAAUAAUUUCCUAAUGAAAAUAUUUUACAUCUAAUCAAACAGACCAUUAGUGGUGUAUGAUUUCACGUUAGCUUCUUAAACCAUACAAGUCACUGAGGGUGUUUGGACAGCCAAUUAUUUGGCCAAAUAUAUUUGCUGACAUCACCAUUACAAUUUCCAAUACACCUUUUUAUCUUCCCAAUUACCUUUUUAUCUCACAUACAUCACAUCACAAAAAGUGCUACAGUAAAAAUAUUUCAAAUAACUUACAAUGCAAACACACUCACUGUCAAUUAAUCCCAAAUGCGCGUUUACCCAUUUGCACAUAUGAAAUUGACUCCACCUAAUUCAAUUCUGAGCACUUGGGAUUUCCAUUCGGAGUCUGUCUCUUACUGUUCCCAAUAGCGACUUCCAUUAUGGAUUUUGAAAACAAAACAAAACAUUUACUACUUCCAAACCAAAUAACUUGUCUUCUUCUUUUAUUUUCCUUAAACUUUUCUUUCGUCUAAGUAGUAGCAGUAGUAGUAAUUUUAAUUUGUCCGGUCCUAAACUCCUAAUUGCAUUUCUUUUGCAAACUGUCCUACGACAAGCCAAACAAUGCAACGGCUCGGGCGGACCACGCCGCCUCCCCGUUUUGCGCGUUUGUUGACUGCGUAAGCGUUAACGCCGUUUACAAAUUUUCAGAGGACACAAAAAAGUUCUCUCUCUCUCUCUCUAUAUAUAUAUAUAUAUACACACACAUACAUAUUUAUACAUGUAUAUAUUUAUACAUGUAAAUAAAACAAGAGCAAAUAAGGGAUGGACACGUAGGAUUUGAGACAACUCUGACCCAUGUCUUUUUGUCGAAAGUCUAGCUGUCGUCCAAUCACCAGGUCACUGAGCUGAUCAAAAAUGGCUCCCAGCCCAAUGACGGAGCCAAGGGGGGCAGAGGGGGGCCAUGGCCCCCCCUAAGUUUUGAGAAUUUUAAUUCAUAAUAUGUAAAUAUGUGUGUAAAAUAAAAUUGGCCCUCCCUAAAUUUUUUCAAUUUUAGUUUAUAUUAUGAGAGUUGAUAUAUAUAUAUAUAUAUAUAUAUAUAUAUAUGAAUUAGUCAUCUUUGAAUGGAAUUUCAAUUUUGACCCAAAAAAAAAAAAAUCCUGGCUCCGUCACUGUCCCAGCCAUCAGCUGUAUGUACCCACAUCUGUGGCCUCUCACCAGAUUUCUCAACGAUUUUCUUUUUCCCAAAAACUUGCCUUUUGAUAGCGUAUCCAUUUGAUCAAAUAAUUCUUUCUCCUAAUCCUGCUACAAGGAGUAUUUGUUUUUUAAUCAAUUGGAAUGAAUUCGCAACUUCAAAUUUCCAACCAUAUUCAUAAAAGCCUAAUAAAUGAACUAUUACAUAAACUCCUUAAACGUACAUUCAUCAAAAUUUGUAAUUACCCGCUAUAAUUUUUUGUGUGAAAAUUAAUAUGGCUCUAUAUCGUGAUGAAAAAUAUAAAUGAAUUCUACUUUUUUCAUUCAUCAAUAUACGUGAUAAGUACAAAAUUUCUAAUCUAAUUACUUCUCGGAUCCUACUUUAAGUACAAAAUUUCUUAAUUCUAAACACAAGCUUCAAAAGAAAAGAGAAAAUGUUAACUUUUUUCUAGUAAGACUGUUCUUAUCUUACUUGUAAUAAAGUGGUACAUAAACUUAUAUCGAUGGAGUAUGAUUUUCAGUUUGUAAUAAAUUACUUCAUUUUUUGCAUUAAAUUAUACUUUUCUAUUUAAGGACGUGAUAUAUUGUAUUCACAUACGGGAACAUUAUUUUGUCUUUAUUGUGAAGAAGUGUCCCAUUUUUUCUUCUAUAAGGUGGUGUUUUUUUUUUUUUUCCACUAAGUUGAUACAAUUUUAUGGAAAUUCUUAUAAGAAGAAGAUAAGAUGAGAAGUGUAAAUGAGCGCAAAUUCGAGACCAUAGAAAGAGAGAAGAAAAAAAAAAAAAAAGUCUUCCCCUGAACUACGCUGACAACUCACUCGCAAUUCACAAAGGCGGCUCUAACACGAGCGUAGCUAGCUCGGGUGUUGGUCUUCAAUUUCAGCCGCAGCUCCAGCUCUGUCAGAAGUCUAUUUAAUCAGAAAAAGAGAGUAAUAAAACGCACCUAAACUCUACGGCCUUUCUGGCAACCCACAAUUAAACUAGUAGCAAAAGCCAGAGUGCAAGGUACCAUCGCCCCCACACCAAAAAAAGAAAAAAGAAAAAGAAGCUAUUUUCUCUCUCUCCUCUCCUUCUCCCUUUCAGCUGAUACACUGCUGCUAGUUCUUUCUUCUGAAAUCCAAAUCUAAGUCUCUCACAUCUCCCAAUAAAAGCCUGAAAAAUAUCCUCACAAGUUUCGUGCGGCUGAACUUGCCGGCAAUGUGGAAGCUCCGGUCGCUGUUUAGCCUCUUGCUCCUGCUUUCUUCAGCUGCUGCAUUGGUUAGUGCUCGAGGAUCCACUAGAAAAUGGCAAACUCUCAGCGGUGAGUAGUGUUAGGUUGUUUUUUCCUCUGUCUGCCUAUUUUUAGCUCCUUGUUUUUGGUCGAAUUUCAGGAACUAGAAAAAGAAAUAACAUAAAACGAUGGAGUGAAUUGAAGAAAUUCGGAAGUGGAAAUUGCGGAAGAAGAAUUUUGUUGUCACGUGUUGAAAACGUGUGGAGUAUGUUAAUCUGCUGAGAAGAGUUAAACCGGAUUUUCAAUUAAUCAAAAUUGCUUUGGUUUAUUUUUCCUUUAGAAAAAAAAAGAGCAGGAAUUAUUUUUAUUAUUGCUAUAUUUUUUUUGGAUUUUUACCUCUUUAAUUUCCAUUGCUUAGUAGAGACCAUCUCCGUUAGUCUAAAAUGACGAAAUAUGAUUAUGAUCAUAAGACUAUAGAACUCAAAGGUUAUAUAAAUAUAUAUAUAUAUAUAUAUAUCAAACAGUUUCCAAAUUUUUAUACCUGAAUGAAACUUUAAAUCAGGUCUGUGAGAUGAAAAAACUCAAAUAUUUUCUAGAUUUCCUUAUAGCAGAUUACUUUCUUACUCUAGCAGCUGAAGAACUAGUUACAUAAAUGGUAGCCUCAAUUGAUUUGCAGGAGUUGAAGUCAAAAUUUAUAUUUUCACGAAGCUACCUAUGAAUGACUAAAUAAUUAGCGUCAUUUUUGGGUUUCAAUUUUUUCCAUGCAACACUUGCCGGAAGAAGAAGUGACUUCUUUGCUUUUCUUUUACAGGAUCUGCACCAGUAGCCAUAGCUCGUGGAGGAUUUUCUGGAUUAUUCCCAGAUUCAAGCUACAAUGCAUAUGUACUCGCUGUUGGUACGAGCUUACCAGACUUAGUCCUAUGGUGUGAUGUCCAGCUCACGAAGGAUGCAGCGGGAAUCUGCUUUCCAGAUUUGAAGCUUGACAAUGCUUCUGACGUUAAUGUGGUUUUCAAUAAUAGGGCAAGUACCUACAUUGUCAGUGGGGUCUCUACACACGGAUGGUUUUCAAUUGAUUAUAAUCUUAAGGACUUGCAACUCAUCAGCUGUAAGUUAUUGUUUGUGAAGAGCUAUUAACUACUUAUACUCUUAUAACUCUUAUUGAGCAUGCACAUGAUCCUUGUUCAUCCCCUCCUUUCUCCCGUCAUCGGAUUUGUUUCGAAUACCACAUCCACGUUGCUUGCAGAUUUCAUGCCAAACUUUUUAUUUCCUCUCAUCCUUCUGUUUCAUUUCUGGUAAUAGCUUCCAGUUCCAAGAAACGGCUCACUUUGUUUGGGCAGUGCUUUGGAUUGUGCAUUUGUCGUGGAAUAUAUUAAGAGCAAAUAAGCUGUUGAGAUUUAAAAAAAAAAAAAAAAGCUGUUGAGAUAGGUAUCUGGCUGGAGUUUUUCAGCUGGGCUGGUUAGGAAAUUCAAGUGAACAUUGGCUUCUCAUCGGCUGAUAACAAACUUAAUUUUGCAGCUGAAAUUAUUUCUUAAACCUUUUGAGAUCACUUUCAUCAUCGGUUUUUUACUAUGUUGGAGUGGAAAAAUGUUUUAGGAAGGAAGAAUUAAACAUUUAAAGCUUUUCUAUUACACUGACAAAGUGUUCUGUCCUGUAUAGUGAAGCAAGGAAUCUAUUCUCGAACUAACAGAUUUGAUGAAACACAACAAAUUCUUACGGUUGAAUAUGUUGCAACCCAAGUCCAACCAUCUGCACUGUGGCUGAAUGUUCAGGUAUGUGCCAACUGCAGAGUUGUAAUUCAUCCUCAUUCCUCUGAAUAUUUUAGCAAAUGAAACCUAUCAUCUUGAGUAAUUGUUUCGAAUGUUUUUGUAGCACGAUGCUUUCUACAGCCAACACAAUCUAAGUAUGAGAAGCUAUGUUAUCUCUGUAUCUCGAAGGGUGGUUGUUAAUUAUAUUUCAUCACCAGAGGUGAAUUUCCUAAAGAGUAUAGCUGCACGCUUCAGACCUAGUGUGACCAAGCUUGUUUUUCGGUUUCUUGGACCAGCUGAUAUUGAGCCCUCAACCAACCAGACAUAUAGUUCGCUUCAAAAGAAUCUAACAUUCAUCAAAACAUUUGCCUCUGGUAUUCUUGUUCCCAAAUACUACAUAUGGCCUGUGGAUAGCAGCAGCCACUAUCUUCUUCCUCAUACAUCUAUAGUCUUGGAUGCUCACGAGGCAGGCCUUGAAGUUUAUGCAUCAGAAUUCUCAAGUGAUGUUACUUUUGCCUACGACUAUAAUUAUGAUCCUGUAGCUGAAUAUCUAUCCUAUAUUGAUAAUGGCAACUUUUCCGUGGACGGGGUGCUAUCUGACUUCCCAAUAACUCCAUCGGAGACCAUAGGUGAGAUGCAGAAUUAAUUGACUUCAUUUAUUCCUGUUUAACAAGUCAGGUCUUAGAUGAAGCGUCUGGCCAUGUAAUUUAGAACUAAACCAUUUCUAAGUAGCACUCUAUGAGAGUAAAUGAAUAAUUUUUACUACAUUGACAUGUUUAUAAAUUUUGUUGAACAUGCUUGCGACCAGAUAAAAGGUGUUGUAACUUGAAAAUUGACAGGAGAUUCUAGCAAACUGGCAAUUUUACUUUAAUACAGACAUCAACUUUCUGUAAUUAUGAGCUGGAGUACAAAGUUCAUAGAAUAUUCAGCACUCUUUGGUUUCUAUGACUCCAAUUCAUGCAGCACCAAAUAUGAGAAGCCCAUGAAGUGAGAAAAGUUUCAGCACUUAUAUGUCUUUGCAAUGCAGUUGGCAAGUCUGGAUCAUGCUUGCUAAACCUGAAAUUUGAAUGUCCCCUUUAGCUAUGAAAUUGGUAAAAUAUGAAUGACUCUAGGAACCUGUUGAUACUACAUUCACCCUCUGCAUGUAUUUCACUGAAUUCAUUGUGCUAAAUAUGUAAGAUGUCUAUCUCAUGAAUUUUAAAAUUCCUUAUCUCUUGCAGAUUGCUUCUCCCACAUUGGCAAAAACGAAACUGAUCAAGGUACAAGACUAAAACGAGUGCUUCCUUGAUGCAAAGUUCACUGGCCACUCUAUAGCUUAAGCUAAAAUUUUCGCCCUGUUUUUUUUCCUUUGAGAACAACAAUUCAUCAUAUUGGGCUAUCAAGAUAUUAAUCCUUCUCUCCUGUCUUUGCUUCAGCUAAGGUUCUGAUUAUCUCACAAGAAGGAGCAAGUGGAACAUUUCCUGGUUGCACUGAUAAGGCAUAUGACCGAGCUGUUACAGAUGGAGCAGAUUUUAUUGACUGUCCAGUUCAAAUGUCUCAGGAUGGGGUUCCUUUCUGUAUGGGAUCUAUAAACCUUAUAGAAAGAACAACAGCUGCUCAAUCAGUCUUCAGAAGUUUCACAAAGACCAUUCCAGAUCUUAACAUACAGGAUGGAAUAUUUGCCUUCAAUCUCACAUGGAGUCAAAUUCAGACUUUGAAGCGUAAGUUCAUCGUGAAGUAGUUUUUUGUUGACCUCAUCCGAUUUACCAUGCUAUGAAAAAUUACUUAGGGUAAAAUAUUUUGAUGCUCCUAAUUAUGGUAAAACUAGUAUGACUAGUUGGUGCAUUUAUAGUCUCUCCUUUACUAACUGAUUUUUGCUAAAAUGCCAUGGACAAUUCUUUAAGGGUCUGUUUGGUUGGAAGUAAAAUGUUUUCCUUGGGAAAUUAUUUUCCGUGGAAGUAAUUUUCCAUGAAAAUCAUUUCCCUUUCAUCAUUUUCAGGUGUUUGGUUAGCUUAUUGAAAAUAUUUUCUUACUUCAUUUUUCUGGUGUUUGUUUAACUUUUGAAAUAUUUUCACUUUUAUCUCUAUCUUUACUUUCUACACAUUAUAACUUCAUACUUCUUCCCAUGCAAAAUAAGAAAAUUUAUCUCAUUAUUUAACUUUAAAAAACCUUGGAGAAAUGUAUAUAUGAAUAAAAAAUAUCUCCUUAAGCAAUAAACAAAUUGCUGGCCAUUUAGUGUCAAAUAUCAAUCACAUGCAAUGCUUAUUGUGACAUAUAUCUUGCACUCUUAUUGCUGAGAGUUUCUCUAGAAAAGAAUGUCCCUAUUAUACAUAAUUAAUUACUAGCAUAGGAUGAGUAGGAUGAGGUUUUUUUUUAUUUUGAAUAUACUAGGGGGAGGGUUGGGUUGGGUUGGGUGGUACGGGGGAGGGAGUGUAAGGAAGAGAUCUUGGGUUGGAGUCCUCCUGUUUACACUAAAAAAAAAAAAGAACAUACUACAAGAUAUUUUCAGUAAGUUUGGAACAUACUACAGGCGGGAUGCAUGCAUUUCGGAAAACAACUUCAGUAAGUUUGGAAGGGAAGUUGUUUUUCAUAAGAUGAGUGAAAAUAUUUUACAUAGGAAAAUGUUUUCAGUAACUUUUGUGCAACCAAACACGGGAAAUUAGGAAAAUAUUUUCACCCGAAACAAACGGACCCUAAGACUACCAUAUUUACUCCACCCUCUGUUGCUUUUGUGAAGAUAUUAAUUGCACUAUUAGUCUCGAAAAAUCUUUGUUUCAAACAUUAAGGUAAACUUUUGGUCCUUGUUACAGCUUCAAUGUACAACCCGUACACAAAUUAUGCAUUGUUCCGAAAUCCAAAAGCUCAAAAUGAUGGGAAAUUUGUGCAACUGUCGGACUUUUUGGCCAUUGCUAGCAAUGCAACUUCUGUUUCUGGAGUCUUGAUUGGAAUAGAGGUGAGUUUUUCUGUGCAUCAGUAUAACAUAAAUUCUAGUUUGAACAAUUGAACAAAGAAGAUGUAAGAUUGUUCCUUUAACUACUAGUAUUUUUUUAAAAUCUGGGAUCUGUUGCAUGAUUGGAGGAAAAGCAGUCGAAAUCUUUGGGUAGCCAUAAGCAGUUUGAGAUGUAUGAAGUUUGAUGCUGUGAUUUUCAGUAUUCUGAACCAACAUUUUAUUGGGGAAAUAAUUUUUUGCUUCUUUCGGUGGUGCAGUUUUGUUUGAUGUAAUUUCUCUCUCAGUAUGUACAAAAGGUUGAUAUUGACGAUACUUUUGAAUUUUGACUUCUGAUCAAUUGUUGUUAAUUUGAGGAGCCAAGGUCUGUAUGAUCUCGGUAAGCCAACUCUUAGUAUCAAAAAGGUUUAUCCUGUUGAACUAUUGGCUGAUCAUAUUAUUUCUGAAGCACACAUGUUAUGAAGGGAAGAUCUACUUGGUGUGUUGUGCUUUAAUGAACUAUAGGCUUAUUAUGUCCUGUGCCUGGACCAUGAGAAUGAACAACAUUAAAAAUUUGUGUAGAAUAAGCUAGCUAUAGUUUCUUGACCGAUAAAAGUUACUUUUAAAUUGGUCUAGUUUACUUGUGGGUAUUGAAAUGGCAAGGAUGGUCAGUUGUUAACUUUGGUUGACUUUUCAAAGAAUAUGUUGUCUGUGCUUUUGGAUUUAUCUAUCAAGGGAAUUACAUAACUAGAAAUAUCAACCAGUUUAGCUUUAUGAUUGACUUGCUAUGGGGAAUCAACAGUCUGAGAAAAUGCUUAAAUUAGUUUUUGAACUCAAAAUAUGCUGCUCACUUAUUUUUUAGGGCAUGAACUCCAAAUGUUUUAGUCAUGUGCACUUUUACCAUUUUUAUGUUUUUUAAGACAUAUAAUUUUUCGCUUUGUGGUUCUUGUCCUACAGCAUGCUGCAUACCUCGCUCAAAAUCAGGGGCUUGAUGUAGUUGAUGCAGUUCUUACUACUUUGAAUAAAUCUAGUUACAACAAGAAAGUAUUGAUUGAAUCUGAAGACAGCUCUGUUCUCGUCAAUAUUGGAAAGAAGAGCAAGUAUGAAUUGGUCUACAGGAUUAACGAAACUAUCAGUGACAUAACUAAUUCAACAAUCUUGGAGAUAAAGAAGUUUGCUAGCUCUGUGCUCGUAACCAAAGGAAGCGUAUAUCCUAGUGAAGAGGCAUUCCUCACUGGUUUAACAUAUGUAGUGCCAAAGGUCCAGGCCCUAGGCCUCCGAGUCUAUGUGCAACUGUUCAGCAACGAGUUUGUGUCUCAGGCGUGGGACUUUUUCUCAGACCCUUAUGUGGAGAUCAACACGUACGUCUCCAACAUGACCAUUGAUGGCUUAGCUACAGACUACCCAGCAACAGCAGCCCGAUACAGGAGUAAGAACCUUAUCAAUUCCAGUAACAUAUUAUGGUUUCUUCUGCUUCGAUAUCCACAUUGUAUCUGAUAAUUCUGGGGAAUAGAUAAUGUCAAACCACUAUAGUUUUGUUUAUAUUAAACUAAUUCAUGCUUUUCUCUCUUCCAUCCAAAGUUUUUAGUUUUCAUGGAACUGAUUUAUGGAUCUUGCAUUAUGCUUUUUUACUAGUGUACUAAUGGUGCUUGAUGUCUUGUGACUGUCCCAGAGAACCGGUGUCUAGGAUACAAACAGGCACCUUCUUACAUGCUCCCAGUUCAACCUGGCACACUCUUUUCGGUUAUGGAUCGGCUCCUUCUACCACCACCUCAGGCUCCUAAGCCGGUCCUGAAAGAGAAUGAUGUGACUGAGCCACCUCUGCCCCAUGUUGUGGUAAGACCUCCUGCAGGCACCAAUAACAGGACCACAGCACAAGGUCCAACCACAGCACAAGGUCCAACCAUGGUUGCAAACACAUUCCUCAGCAGUCUUGCCAUUCUUCUCGUGACUUUUGCCGUGCUAAUAUCAUAAUAAUACAUUCUUCCGCUUUCACCUUAUUGCUGAGAUGAUUCACAUUCUCCUAGAGCCGCCUAGGAGUGUAGAGCUAGUUCAGAAUUUUCCGCUAAAAACUUGUAUGAUUAAUUCCUUGCUCUAUUCUUUUGAUUGAUGUCCAUGCUUUUACUGUAGGUGUUGUCGCUCUUGGAAAUGUUCUCUUUUCUUUUUUCUUAUACUUAUGGGAAGGUUGGAAAUGUUCUUUUUUCAUUUUUCUUAUCCUUAUGGGGAGGUCGAGCAAUGGUGUACUUUUGAGAGAAUUAUAAGUAUUUGUAAUAUAGUCCCUAGUACAUAAAAUAUUCUUUUUUACUGGACAUCCUGCGGAUCUCAUUGUUGCGUUGAUGUUUCCUGCCGUACGAUAGGAAUGUUAACUCGUAGAAUCCAUUAAAAUGGAAAAUAGGGUUUAGUGUUUACCUGACAAAAAAGAAGCCCGUACGUUGUUCAGACUAGGAGACAGACCAGGGGUCGAAAACGUAACCGUUUAGGCAGGUUUUAUUCAAUUCUAUAGGAUAUAGGAUGUAAUCUCAUUUAUUUAGGAUGUACUUUACUUUUAACUAGGGAUGGCAACGAGGUGGGGUUGGGGCGGGGGACCCCUCCCCCAUCCCCCGCCCCGCUGCCUACAAACUCUCCCCGCCCCCGCCCCGCUUCCCCCGCAGGGUUAAUAAAAAUUUGUUAUGUAAUUUUAUUAUGGUUAAAUUUUAACAAAUAAUUAAGUACUAAAAUAUCAACACAUCAUCAAAUUAUUAUUCAUUGUAAUUUUACAAUUGAAACUUAUAAAAGCAAUCAAAUAAAAAUUAUUUGAAUACAAUCCAACGUGAUGAAAUAAAUAUAACUAAAAUAGUCAAGUUUUCACUUUUGGCACAAAUAUAAUCACUAAUUCAUUAUUGUGUUUGUGCUUUUUUUAAGAAAAAAUGUUAUUGUAUUAAGUGUAAUUAGGGAUUUAGUAUAAAUGUAUUAGUAAAUUUAAUAUAACCAAUUAAUAAUUUGUAUUAGUACACAUAUAUAAUUAUUAGUAUAAUUAAUAAUAUCAAUUAUAUUAUAUAUACUAAUAGACAUCAUAUAAUACAUAUAACUAAUAAUAUCAUUUUCAUAAGUUUAUAACUAAUUAAAUUAUAUAUAUUAUAUAUAUAAUUAUAUACAUAUAUAUAUUAUAUUUAUUUUUUUAAAGCGGGUGGCCCCAUCCCCCGCCCUAACCCCCUCCCUACUUUUAACACAUUGUAAAUAUAGACUAAAAUUUUGUGAAUUCCACACGUUACAUUGUAAAUAUAGAAUAAAAUUUUGUGAGUCUCAUACAUGGUGUUAAAAUUGAUGUACAAAAUGUAAUUUGAGGCUAGCAUAUUAUUUUUUUGGUCAAAUCAUGGCCGUGAACCUUUCUAGACAAUUGGAGGCCCCCAUCUUCGAGAUUUAAGAGACCGCUUGUGUAUUUGAGGUACAAAAUAGGUAGAUCUAGUUAAAUAAAAAUUAGCACUUCUGACUAAAUAAACAAGUGUACAGAAGUACAUCAUAAAAAGGUUUAUUCUAAUAGGGGCCCAAGAUUUAUUCUAAUAAGGGUCCUCCCAAUAAAGAUGAAAGAUUUACCAAACUACUUGACAUUUGAAUCGAACUUGAUUUGGUAACCAGCUCAUUUAAGUUUUGUUCACCAAUUAGUUAAGCUAAAUUUGAGCAACGUUUUAUAUUUGAUAACAUUCAAAUUAGAUAAAAAAUUCGUUCAAACUCGAUUCGACAAAUAAAAAAAAUUAAAUUUGGAUAACAUUUCAAAUUUGUUAAAAUAAUGAGAUUCAUUAAGAAAGCCUGUAUGCACAAGGGAUACCAAUUACAAUGUAAGAACCUUUACAUUAAAUGCUAAGCUGGAUAUUUAUAUGUGGUUAGGAAGUGGUGAUGUAAAUUAGUCUAAUCAAGUCGAACACUCUAAUGUUUAAACUUAUUUGGGGUCCGUUGGAUUCCUUAUUUUUGCUUCUGUUUUUGAAAAAUUGUUUUUCACAUUUCAAAUGCUAUAGUAAAUGUGUAUUUUAAAAACAAUUCCAAAAACACCAUAUCCAAACAUUAUAUCAAAAACAACUUCAAAUAUACAUAUUUAAUAUGUAUAUUUCAAUUAUGUAUAUUAUAUGUAUAUAUAUAUAUAUAUAUUAUAUUAAUAUAUAUUGAAAUAUACAAAUUGAAAAUUAUAUAUUUAUAUAUUAUAUAUUAUAUACAUUAAUAUUAUACAUAAUGUUGUACAUUAUACAUAAUAUAAUAUAAUAUACAUAAUAUGUAAUAUUGUAUACAUAAAUGUAAAAAUAUUUAUACAUAAUAUAAUAUGUACAUUAUAUUAUAAUAUAUACAUUAUUAAUGUACUUUCAUUAUUAUGUACAUUAUUGUGUAUAAUAAUGUUAUGUAUAAUAUAUAAUAUACAUAAUAUUAAUUUUGUAUAAAUGUAUAUUAUGUAUAAUAUAUUAUAUUAUGUACAUUAUACUAUAUAUAUAAUAUUAUGUAUAUUAUACAAAUUGAAAAUUUUAUAUUAUAUAUUUAUAUAUUAUAUAUUAUAUAAAUAUUUAUAUAAUGAAAUAUACAAUAAAUAUUACAAAUUGAAAUAUUAUAUAAGCACCAUAUUUAUAAUAUUAUAAUAUUUAUAAUUAAUAUUAAUGUAUAUUAUAUAUAUUAAAUAUUUCUAUAUUAUAUAUUUAUAUAUUUAUAUUAGAAAUAACUUAUUUUAUUUAAAAAAUAUUUUUAUAUAUUUAAAAAAUAUUUAUAUAAAUAUUAUAUAUUAUAUAAAUUAUAUAUUAUAUAAUAAAUUAUAUAUUAUAUAUAUUAUACAUUUAUAUAAAUGUACAUUUAUACAUAAUAUAUAUAUUUAUGUAUAUUUAUAAUAUACAUUUAUAUUAUGUAUUAUAUAUAAUAUAAUACAUUUAUAUAUUUAUAUUAAUAUACAUAAUAUUAAUUUUACAUUUAUACAUAAUUUUAAUACAUUUAUACAUUUAUACAUAAUAUUAAUAUAUAUUUAUAAUAUAUUAAUUUAUACAUUUAUAUAAUAUUCAUUUAUAAUAAUAUACACUUAUACAUUUAUAAAUAUAUUUAUAUUAUGUAUUAUAUAUAAUAUAAUACAUUUAUAUAUUUUUAUAUAAAUAUAUUUAUAUAUAAAUAUUUAUAAAUGUAUUAUAAAUGCAUAAAUGUAUAUAAAUAUAUAAAUAUAUAAAUUAUAAAUUAUAAAAAUACUCAAAAAUAUGUUUUAAAAAUACCUCUAAAAAUAAUCCAAAAAAUAUCUACAGUAAAAGUUUUUCAUAUAGUUUUUGAAAAACAACUCAAAAAAUAACUAAUCCAAACAGAUUUAUAUUUCAAAAGCGAAAUGCUACAGUGUUGUUUUUGAAAAACAACCCCAAAAACAGCUAAUCCAAAACGGACCCUUGUUCUUAUAAGAAUUUCCCUCAGUUGUGUUAAAAGUUAACAUGUAUUGCUUUUGUUAUUGAAUGUCUCCUUACAAGACAAACCCUUUACGAAAUUAUAGAGGCGCAACGAGGUCGUGCGAGAAAAGGAAAUGUUAGAGCCAAAAGACGGAACAUGUAAAAGCAAGGGAUAAUUGUAAAAACCUCCCCUAAGGUUCCUGACAGUUGCAUUCACCUCCUUUGAGGUUUUGAAAAUAGCUCUAACCUCCCCUAACAUGAAUUUGGAGUAUAUAACUGAUGUAAGAUAGGGUGGAUUUACCUAUACACCCUUAGAUUUUAAGGUUGUUAGUAAACAAAUUUAGGGCAAAAAAAAAAAGCAAUAAACAAGUUCAGAAUAAGUAAUUAAAUAAGAUUCACAGUUAUUUCUUGCCUGAUUAGACACUGUAAGUGUACUUAUAAAAUGACGCCAAUUGAUGCUCCAAUAUAAUGUUAUUUUAUGAUUGAUAGCACUUGAGAGGACAAUCUAAAUUGUAUAUUAUCUGCAUAGAAGAGAAGCAGAAGCAAGAAAAAUGUAGGGGAAAGAAACCUCCAGACAAGGCUCCAUAAGAGAAUAAGUUCUGGUGAUUUUGGUUAACCUCACUUUAUCUUAAACAUUCAUGAAGUAGAAGGAGAAAGAAAGCAAAAAUCAAGGCAAAAUCUAAGGAUUUUUUUUGUUAAAAAUUUGCGGCAAUCAAAAGAUAAUAAAUAAGCAAUCCUUUAUUAUCUUAAUUUAAUACAAAAAAUUUCUUUAGUAAAGGAUAGUUUUUGAAAUUGGAUGUACACUUUAUAUGUUUUACAAUAUUAGAUUUCUGAAUGUAUGUUCAUUGCUUCUUCUAAUUGUUGCUACCGCACUAGUUUUCCUUGCCCUUAUAUUCUCUUUAGUUUCACUAACUGUUUCCACCUUUUAAUAUUUUUCAUUCUUUUACUAAUACAACCUCACAAGAGACAAAAAGAGUAUAAAUGGAACAAAAUUAUUAUCUUACUUCUCAAAAGAUUUUUUUAAUGGCAUUUUUUCUGACAUGGGUGAAUCUGCUAUCAAAACCUUAAGUUUAGGGGAGGUUAGUCCUAUUUUCAAAACCUCCGGGGAUGUGAAUGCAACUAUUAGAAAUCUCAAGGGAGGUUUCUGCAAUUAUCCCUAAAAACAAAUAAGAAAUAAGUUUGCACUCCAUUGCCAUAGGAGAAUUGGUGGGGUGAUUAAGGAUUGUAAAGAAGACUUCAAAAGGGAAUCCUAGACAAAAUAAAGAAUUGGAGGGAGAAUGACAAAACUCAGAAUGCUUACCAAAUUAUUCGUAAAAGCCUGGUGAACAGAAUGCUGAAUAGUGUAAUCAAUCUUAUUAAUCAGGUGGAGGAAGACAACUCACACAGAGAAGAGGGAAGACGGUUACGACCAUUGAUCUCUCAAUCCUUGCUGUACGAGUGAUCUUAUUAAUUUUGAUCCAGUAAAUUCAUAAUCAGGGCAACAUUGUUAUUAUUUUCAGCGAGUCAGGUAAUAGAAAAUCCUAGCAAACUGCAAGCUACAUUGAAGAGACUACACGCAGCCGAGUCUUGUAGUGAAUUCUACUAGAGUCAUUUCAAGUUGAACCGUUCGAAACACCACCACCAUAAUUUCUGAAUAGCCAGUGAUCCAAUGACAAGUAGCAUUACUCCCAGCAGCGGUGAAGGCCGUGAAUAACUGGAGCAUAUUGAUAUGGGCAGUCUACUCCUUUCCAUGUUUCUGUCUCAAACGCUGUCUGACAAACUCAUUCCGAGCUUUAAUCCGAGCUUGCUGAGGGCCAAUGUUGGAGUGCCACAGAUGCAACCCGUAGCCAAAUAGACAAGCACCACCAAGGAAGCAUGCCACCGUUGAUACCAACUUCUUAGGUGUGGAAGGGUAGCACAACACCAUUUGAUUGAUUGCUACUACAAAGCCUUAUUUGCAUCACUGACAAUUCAAAAAAUCGUCCAUAAAUUACAUCCCACUCAUGCAUGUCAAUUGGAAAUUAAAUGCAGGAACGAAUUCCAAUUUAUUUACCAAAGAAGCAUUGCUCCAUUAUAGAGUUACGUUCAACUUAAUGAUGAACCAUAUGGAGCCAAAAGGGAAUGGACUAAUUUGCUGCCUGUCGAUACCAAUUCAGACAGACAGAUUACAAUCUAGCGAUAACUUCGGUUCUAAACCCCAUAAACAUACUCACUUAGGAAUUCCAUCGAACAUCUGGUGCGCGGACAGAAAAGCUACAAAAACAACGACCGCGGACCCUUAAAUACUGAAGGUUCAAAGUUUCCGAGUAAAAUGGAAAACUUACGACGAUGAAGACGAAUAAAAUAAUCUAAGCGUCUGCUUUCAUCUCCCCGCGCUUGCGCUCAUAGCCUCCGCGACUGGACUAGUCUGAGGCUCCGUGCACGUGUUGAACUUGUUUACCUUAUUAAUGCUUUUACCCAUUCCCCAUCCGCCUACAGGUACGGCAGGAUAAGCAUGCAAGAAAUGGAUCCACAAUAAAAUUUUAAUAUUGUCACGUGCCGUAUACUACUAGUACUUAACAAACUUCCAAAACUCUAAGCAGGCGCCAAAAAGAAAAAAAUAAAAUAAAAUCUAUGUUUUAUCUUUUUUGUUAUUAUUGUUUGUUAAAUACUUCCUUUGUUCCAUAUUUUUUGGAGAAUGUGUAAUUUAUGUAUGUAAAAUGAUGUUAGCAGGAGAGAGAACUUCUUUUCUAUCCUUAGUAGCGGAUUAUCUUUUAUUUGAUGUAUUGAUCAUUGUUGAGAAUAAAUGAUCGGCCGCAUGAAGGAUAAAGAUAAAAUUUCAUUAAAUUAAAAGAAAAGUAGAUUGACGAUUAAUUUGGGACAAGAAAAAGUUACAAAAUAAUUUAUUUUAUUUAUGAGAUGGAAGAAGUAAUUUAAUAAGUUAAUAAACCUCUUUUUUUUUUUUUUCCCUUGAAAAAACCAAAUGUCCGUCCAUUUUCGCAUUUCUGGUUUACUCUUAAACCUUGGAAGGGAAGGAUCCCCAGCUCUUUCGAUACAAUUUGUAUUCUUGACACUUUCACCAUCAUUUGUCAUUUGCUAAUUUCAUCAACAAAUUUGUUUCUUCUAAUCAAAGGCAACUUCAGUUACUUUACAAUGAUAAUUUCAUCAACAAAUUUGUUUCUUCUAAUCAAAAGGCAACUUCAGUCACUUUUACAAAAUUUGCUUCAGUAAAACUUGAGCUUUCGUAAUUCUCCAGAAUUGCCAAUGGAUGCUGUGGCUUCAAGUUCUGAGAUUUCCUUUACGACUUGAGCUUUGUCCGCCUCAAAGGCUUCAUCCUCUGCAAAGGUUAAAAAGAAGACAAUUAGCAGCAAGGCCAUAGUUCUCCAACCUCUGCUCUGCCGCCUAUACUGUGACGUGUGGGGGCUUUAAAAGUAGCCAUACCUCUAUCAAUCUUGAAGCCAGCGAAGAAACGUAGAAUCUUGCUUCUGUUGGCUACCAGAAUGUUAACUAUGUCAGGAGGCUUAUUUUGGUUGGCCACGAAAAGCUACAGGCAGAGAACACAAACCCGUUAAAUUAAGAGAGCACAAGCAAGCACAUUCAAAACACAAGAUAUUCACACCUUGAACACAUGAAAUGCAUCGAGCGGAAUGUUUUUGCUUGACUCCUGCAAAACGGGAAAUCUAGCAACUUUAGAUAACGAGAAUUUCAGAAUAAUUAUUAUAUGUAAAUGUUAUUACUAUUUAAAUUUCUACCCCUCAAACCCAAAAAAAAAAAAAUUAUAUGUAUAUGUAGCAUGUAAGAUGCAACGAUGGACUAUCGAGCCUAAAUCAAUUCAUCUGCAGCCUAUCUUUUAGAGUAGGGCUUCAGUGCAAGAAUUACGCGUAGAAUUCUGUGAGAAAUUUGUGUACGUUUGUGGAUUUUCAUCAAAAGGCAGAUUACAUACCCUCAGAAGAUUCAUUAAAAUCCUCAGAUUAUCCCUUGAGCUGACAUAGCGUACCAUCACAGCAGCAUUUGAACGAUCGAGCAAAAUAUCUCCCAAAAGCUAGGGGGAGAAGAAAAACAAACUUCAGGUUCCAGCCACAAGCAUUUCCAUCAAACACAGCAAACAAAUUUAAAUACAGCCCCGUUUGCUCAAGAACCAACUUAGGCUAGUAAAGAGAUCUCCACAUUCAAAACUCCAAAUAUGAUGGGCCAAGGAAUAAAGUGAGACUUCUUCAAUUAACCAUGGAAACAAGAUGAAAACAAGAUAUCAGAACACUCACAGAGACAGGAUAUGGAUUAUAUUUUCCAUGAUCAAACCGAAUAUCAAGUUAUGCAAUUAGAUGUGGCACAUCUAGUCACAAUUAUGACAGCCAUAUAAAAUCUUCUAAGGAUAAAUGAUGUCAAAACUCAAAACACCAAUAGUAUAUUGUAAUUGCUUGGCGAAUGAAUACCUUGACAGCUUGUCUUCUAGUGAUAUAAUUUGGAGAUUCCAAUAACUUCGAGUUGAAUUCAGCAAAAAACUGAAGAUCAAAUAUGAAGAUAGCAAAGGUUAAACUACUAUAAAGUUAGAGAACAAAGAAAAUGGUGAAACUACAGAAUUCACAAAAGAAACCUUGACACUUGAAACAUUAAGUGCGGCACUAAAUGAGACUCUUGCACCAAUGGAAGCAAGAACUUACCCAAUUAUAAUUUUCAGCAAGAAAUUCUGCAACUGUGGACUUAUGUCUCGUCAGAAGCUCCUGCAAGAUUUUGCCAGAAUAACCAAAACUUAUUAACGUGUUUCUUAAGAAUCCAAAAAGGGGAUAAGAUCUAUCAAAAAAAGGUGGGGGGAGGGGCUGCUUUUCCAAUGCCAUGCACAAAUAAUUUGAUUUAAUUAGUAUGGUAAUCCAUUAAAAGAGAACCAAAUGAAAUUUUAGUUAAAAAAAAAGUAGUUCUGGAACAUAAAAUUAUGUCAUUUGACCCUGGCAAGAAUAUAAAGCUGCUUUCCUAUCCUUCCACAUCUUGUAAGCUUAACUGCCAUUUUCCCAGGGCCAGAAAAUCCUUUUAAGUCCUGAUAGCAAUUUCAACAUUUUUAUAGCAAGCUUAUACCAGAACUCUAUAUGGCCCAAAAUUGCUGAAUGUCAUAGUAAGUGUACAACUCAAUGACUCAAAACUGCUUUUGACAGUGAUGCAAAAGAAGCCAAAUGCAUCUUUGUGACGAUAAGUGAGCUUAAUAAAAUCUCAAGGUUAACAAUGGAUGCCCUAUGACGAUGAGGUGGGAGCCAGAAAACAACAAAUAUAACCUUGAAUGUAGCUGUGGCAUCAGCAGCAACAUCAAAACUUGGGAGUUGCAUGUAGUCAAAAAACUUUUUCACGUGCACUGAUUUCAGAACAUACCUGACCGAAAAAUCAUAAAACCAUAGCAAACAACAUUGAAUAAGUAAACACAUAAAACUAAAUUGAGAAUUUCAACAUCCAAUAGCUUGCAAACUGCUUACCUUGCAACUGUCUGAUGGCGAAUACACUCUCUCAACAUUCCUCCAUAGUGCAAAGCCAUUGCUGGAUCUUCAUAGCUAUAACAAAAGGGGGCAGGGGGUUUGGGUGGCGAAGCUAAGGCCAUGUCAAUGAACUGAAACUAUUGAGGUAUAGAUUACUUAGGCUCUCAGAAUAUUUCCAGAAUUCUUCCUACAAAACCUAGGUAGGAUGAGGAAUGUUAAAAAAAAAAAAAAGUUUCAAAAUAUUCCCUUUUCUGAGUUGGUUGUACUUCUGGACAAGCUAUUGCAUUUUCUCAAGUAAAACAUGCAAUUUGGCAGAUUAUCUACUUAAGUUGGACCCAAUCACCUAAUUGAGCAUAGGCUAAUUCUAGUUGGAAUUACAGACGACCACAGCAUGAAAAUAUAGAAUUAUCAUGAACAAAUGAUAAAAAAAUUGACAAGCUUAUUUGCAAUGUGGUUUUUCGACCAGUAUUCAGGCAAUCUGUGCUAAAGAUAGGACAUGAUCUUCUAGCACAUAUUAUUAUAAAACUUCAGUUUCUCAAAAGCCUCCUGCUUGCUAAAGGUAUUCUAAAUGAUCCAUAGAGAAGAAUGCUUCAUGGCACAGAAAGAUGGGUCGGGAGGCCAGCAAUGUAAGCUUCCAGGUAGAAGAUUUUUUCCUAAUUUCUUUGGUGUGACUUUUUCGGCAGGUAAUCAUCUAUCCUGACCUCCCAAAGAAAAAUUUGACCAGAAAGAACUGUAAGAUCUUUUUAUAGAUUCCAACAUGCUACAAAAAAGACUUUAGACCAAAGGAAACUUAUAAUAGGAGAUAACAUAUGCAAGAUGGUGAUAAUAUGCAAACAUACUGCCAAUGAUGACUCACCCUGAUAUUAAUAAGUCCAACAGAUCCAGGUUGAAUUCCAAGUAAUCAGAAGCAAUCAAGCGCGAAUUAACUGGCUGCCUUUGCAAAUUUGCAACAACUUGGGUGGCAUCCUUACGUGCCUAUAGAGCAAUGGUUAUUCAAAAAUAAGCAACAGCAAUAGAAAAAAAAAAAAGCCUCCGAUAAUCAUAGUUUCUAGAUCAGAAUGCAUAAAUGUGAAACAAGACUAAAACAAUUUACAAAGAGGAAUUGGUGUUCGUUCCGAUUACAGGUAAGCUUACAACAUUAAAUAAUAAGCUCACCUCCAAGUUGAGUUUUGGAAGACAAACAAUGAGGAGCCGAAGGGUGUUUUCCUUGAAGAACUGCUGAGUCAGUUGUGCGCAGGCUUCAGCAACAGGCUCAGAUUCACCAUUUCCGUACAGAAUUAGCUUCAUCUCCCUUAUGAGCACAUCUAAUUCUGACAUCUGCAACUCAAAAAUUGGGCACGCAAUUCGGAAUCAAUAGUCAGUACUUGACACAUCAAAACAACAAACAGAGGGAAUUAUGCACUGCAAAAUUUUUGCCAAGUUUAAACUGUUACAAAAUGACGUCAAGUUGAGCUGUGUCACUGAAUUUUAAUGCUGAGAACAUAAUGAAUUUAAUGCACAAGUAACAGCUCUCAAAUGCAAUGUCCUCCUCUCAUAAUUGUGAGCAAAAAGAGAAAUAGGUAACCCCCCCCUCCCCGGGGCCCCCCACAGGAAAAGAGUGCCAGAUACAGCACCUUGAGAUUGCAGUACACCAUAUUAAAAUCUCUACAUUUAAACUUUGUUAAUCUUCAAUGUAAUCCUUUGAUGAUUCAGGAAAAACAAAUUAAAAUCUCUACAUUUCAAGAACAAAAUAAAGCAAAUUCCUAGCCAGAAUUAAAUUUUUGCCAAAAAAAAAAGAAGAAGAAGUAGAAAAGGUGAAAAACACAUAAUGUACCUUCGAAAAGCAUCAAUAGCGAAUAUCACACAGCUAACCUUAUAAUCGCCAAACUCAGAAGAGAACGAAAACAGCCCAAAAACCGAUGAUCAAAUUUGUUGUUUCAAAAAACAAUCUUUAAAUCAGAAGAACCCAAACGAGGAUAAAAAGAAAGAAAGAAGAAGUUUUGAGUAAAACCCGUAAUAAGAAUAGCAGUACCUUAUCGGAAUGCUUUUGGCCAGAAAGAUGGGAAGCAGAAUGGAGAUAGGAGAGCAACGAGGUGGCAUGACGGACAAUGUCAAUAGGGGUCUUAGGCCGAGAUUUUUUGGAUUUAAAAAGGGAAGCAGUACGCAUAGCCUUUGUAAAAAGCCUCUUGAGAUUCAUAGUGGGAGAGCGUUUCAGGGCCUUGCGGUGAUCGGAUGGCUUUUGCUGAUGAUUCAUGAGGCCCCCCACCCCCACCAUCUCUCUCCUUCCCUGUUCAACCUGGGUCGGCAUUAUUAUUUAUUAGGAUUUGGGAAAAUUUCUUCAAGGGUGGUGGUUGAUGUUGUUGUUACUGGUGGAAAUGCAGGGGAAAGAGGAGGGAAAGGAGAGAGGGGAUGAUGAGGUUGAGGAGGGGGAAAUGGGCAAAUGCCAUUUACGGAUUUUCUUUGGUGAGGGCUUCGAUGUUUUUAUUAUGGUAGUAUUUGGGAAAUCAGGGGUGGGUGUUGAAUUAUUUACGGAAAGUAUAAUGAGAGGAGCAACUUUUUCGAUUUCCAUUUUGAUCACAGGAAUAUACAGGAUCCGGAGCCGGACUUGGAUUUUCUGCUUCAUCAGCAUCAGGUGUUGUUUGUUCUCUCUUUCUGUCUGGAACCUCCUCACCCUUCUCUCUCUCUCUCUCCCACCUAUUUUUGCGGAUUUAAAAGAUACUCCAAAUAGAAUAGUACUACUAGUUCCUAAUCUACAUGACCCGACCCUAGAAGGAAAAACAGAAAAAUGUAAAAGAUGGAUCCAAGUUAGGGCUGCAAAUGAAUCGGGUCAAUCACGAGCAGGUUGAAUUCGAACUCGACUCAAGUUCAAUCAACAUUAUUAAGUUCAAGUUAACUAAGUCGAAUUCGAAUUUAAAAAUACUAAAGUCGUUAGCUCGCGAGUCGACUCGAACUCGAUUAUAUAUAUAUAUACUAGGGAGGGAUAGCCCGCGCGACGCGCGGGAAUUUGGUGCUUGUGAUUCAAGAUAAUUAAUAAUUAUUGUUUAAUAUUUUGUAGUAUAGGAACUUAAGUAUGAUGAUUUUUUCAUGUGAUUUUAAUAGAAAAAUCAUAAGUUAUAUAGUGAGUCAAUAAAAAUAAUGUGCAAUGAGACAUCUUUAUCGUUAUACUAUAUAAGAAUCCGUUGUGAUCAAAGAUUAUGUUUAAAUUUCAACUGUAAAGAUAAGGGUAGUUUGAAAAUGUAAGAAUGUCUAAGUGCAAUUGAAAAGUAUCCAAAGGUCUAUUCUAAAACUUAUCCAAGAUGAUAAAACAUUUUAAAAUAUCAAUUGGACCAUUCAUCUCUCGAAUCUAUAUAUGUUCAUGAAAGAUCCCUCAAACAAUGUUUCUGAUUUCUCCCUUGACUUAAGCUCAACCUGAAUUAUCAAGUCAAGUUUAUCCAUCAAUCACUUUGCAUCCAAUCUAGUCUAAAAUAAUUUUAUCUUUGACUAACUAUUUAUAUAAUUUGGUGGGCAUAUAAUACGACUUAAUCACAUGUUUCUUACAGAGAUAAUGAUGCCCAAAAAUGAUAGAUAAAUAAGAAACUUAAGUGGUUUUUUUCAAAAUUUUGUAGAAACUAUUCAGAUUUGGUGUUUUUUGCUAGGGGCAUUUCUUUAUAAUCUCAUAAAUAAGUUCAAAUCUGCAUAAUUGUAAAAGAUCUGAAUUGAAACUAUCUUGAUUAUAAAAAAUUGGUGCAAAUAAUAUUUUCUAAAUUUGAAAUUGUAGAAAAUGGUAACUAAAAUCAGAAGAAAUUGCUCAUAUGAAUUCGAAUUGCAAACUAUAGGUAGAAACUGUUUAAUGAUAUUUUUCAAUGUUUACUUGUAUAAGUAUCCAAUAUAACAUUUCUACUUAAUUGACUCGUUUGAACUAUGGAUAAUAGUUGCUUCAAUCAAAUCAAGAAACAUUAUUUAUCAUUGUACAACAUACAAUUAUGAGUAAAUGAAUUAAUACAAUGCAAUCAAAAUGGUGCUGUAACUAAAGCAUUUAAACUCAUCAAGUUUCACUACAAAUUCUUUUAGAUAGCAUAAAAAAGCAAAUUUUUUGUAUUUGAAACUAUAUAAACAGUAUAAUACAAGAACGAGAUCAUAACAUGGAAAGCAAAUAGAGUGCAAAUGACAUCUUAGUACUAUGUAGCAUGAUUAAUUUUCUUUUUUAGUUUCAAUGAAGAACAAAAUUCUAAGUUAAUAAAUUUUACAAUCAUAAAAUUCUCAGUUAAAAUAAACACAAGUUGAAUUCCAAAUCAUAUUACAUGAAAAAAUAACUACAUGAAUUAUAACUGCUGGAAUGUAGUCAACAGAUCCAUGGAGUCAAGAACAAUAGGAGAAAGUUCAUGAGAAAUAACACGUUAUCUGACUUAAAUAAAGAGAUAAUACCUUGGUCGAGGAGGAGAAGAUGAUCAAAUUGUUUUUCUGAUUAUUUUAGAAAGUGACAACAUUAUCUCAAAUUGUACUUUGACCAGAGACAGAAUCUCUGGGAUCUACUAAGGAAAACAAUACAAUUAGUCAGUUUUUGGAAUUAGAAGUAUCAAAAACAAACUAUAUGGAAUUCUUGAAUAAACCAAUUAUCAGAAAAAAAAACUACAAUCGAAGAAGACAAACCCAAAGAACUCACAUCAAUUUAAAGGAAAAGCUACGCAUUCCACCAAAUAUUUAAUAGCCAUAAUAAAACCAAAGAGGUGAAACUGAAAAAGAAGAAAGGGUAUAUCUAAACAUGGGGACAUAAAUAUGAUAAUGAUUGUUCAGAUAAUAAUUAAGUUAAUUAAUUGUAAUUAAAAUCCAAUCAUGUAAACAUCCAAUUAAUUCUUUAACGGACGAGAAAGGUUUUAGGAAAUUGGAAGGUUUGGAUGUUAGUAUAAUAAAUGAUUAAAAGGACUUUUAUGUAAUUCUAUCAAAACACAAGCUUUAUUCAGUUGUACUUGAUACUCAAUUUGGCACCAAACAUUGUAACAUACCAAACCUGCUCCUAACCUUAAAUGUCUGAAAGGUUAUAUAAGUAAUUAUAGUGAAAUUAAAGCUAUAAUGACUUGUACUCAAUGUUCCAAUUACUCUUCAAACACUCUUAUAUUCCCAAAAUAGCCUCACCCGUGCGGUUGAAAUCUAGUUCUAAACUCGUUCUUAUAUAGUGUAAGUAUAUAUAUAUUAAUUUUAAUAAUAAAAUUACAUAUAUAUUUUUAAUAUUUUAUUAUUUAUUAAAAAAAUAAUUAUUUUAUUUUUUUUAAAAAAAUAAAAAUAAUUAUUUUUUUAUUUUUUAAAACUCGAGCUCAAGUUUAACAUUUUGAGGUCGUUGAGUUUAAGUUUGAAUUUCAUAAAAUUAUGUUGAAGGUCAACUCGAUUAGGUUGAAUCUCGACUCAACUCAAUUCGUUUGCAUCUCUAGUCCAAGUCCCGAAGUCCUUUUUUACUUUUUUUUUUUUUUUGACAGCAUCUCCAACCCAAAAAAAAGGGAUUAGGUUUGGUAAGAGUUGAGUUGAAUUGUAAUGCUGUCAUUGGGGCCAAUUCUUGGUAGUAUUAUUUUAGAGAAACCCAAUGCCAGUUGUUUUGUAGAGCAGCGGAGGAAAAGGGUGCUCUUAACUUCUAAUGCAACUUUACGUGAACGCAUUACAGCAGUGCAUGAAUGCUUUCAAUAUGCAUUUACGUUUGAUUAUUAUGCAAAAACUGAUGCUACAAACAUACCAGGCUCUCAACUAAGUAGCAAGUACAAGUAGAACAGAAGACGAUAUUGGCAGGUAUGUAGGUCUUACGAAUGCGUUAAAACAGCCUACCUGCUGCUAUAGGCUCUUUUGAUUCUGAUGAUAGAUACUACUAGGCAUGGCCACGGUUCCAGAACCAACGGUUCUGGUUCCAGAACCGCCGGUUCUGGUUCUUCAAAGAGGUAGAACCAGAACCGCACCAUAUAAGAUGGUUCUGGUUCUGGUUCCAGAACCGGCGGUUCUGGUUCUUCAAAAAGGUAGAACCAGAACCGCAUAGUUCUGAUUUCGAUUCCUUAUGGUUCCGGUUCUGGUUCUGGUUCCGGUUCCGGUUCCGUAUGGUUAUAUACAAUUUUAUUUAAUUUCUUAUCCUUACCAAUUUUAAUACGAAUAUAACAAUAUAUUUAAAAUUUUAAAUAAAAUGUAAAAAAAUAAAUACAAAAUAAAUAUCAUAUUUUAAUUUUAUUAUUAUUCUACAAAGUACGAAAUAAUAAAUAGAUAAUAGAUGAAGAAAUUGAGAGUAGUUUAGAGAUGGAAGAGAGAAGAUUGAUUUUGGUGUAGUAGAAAAUAAAAUUUCAAGUCUUAUUUAUAGGACAAAAUGAAAUUAAAAAUUUGGAACGUUGUAUUGUAACGUUCCAAAUUUGUAACGUUGUAUUGAAAAUUUGGACAAAAUUACAACGUUGAAUUGUAACGUUGUAAACUUGUAAUUCACCCUAACCCCCAAUUUGUCAAAUUUAGCAGGCAGCCACCUUUCUUGUUUUUUUUCUAUCCUUUGCUUUGUUUCUUUCUUCCGUUGAGAGCCUGAGGACCUUUGUGCAAGUCAGGAGGAGCCCCCGAGAGCAAAAAUUGAGAGCAAAAAUUGUGGUGGCAUCAUGAUGACCUUGGUCAUCAUGAUGCCUCUACUUUUAUUAUUUUUUAUAUUAAUUAUUUUUAAAUUUUUUAACGGUUCUGGAACCGGCGGUUCUGGUUCUGGUUCUAUUUUUUAGAGAACCAGAACCGGAACCUUUAUCCAAGGUUCUACUACGGUUCUGGUUCCACGGUUCUGGUUCCGGUUCUGGUCCGGUUCCAAACGGUUCGGUUCCGGUCCGGUUCCCGGUUCCAAGUGGAACCAUGGCCAUGCCUAGAUACUACUACUGAGUACUGACCCGCCUCUCUUCUUUCGUUGCUCACAAUAUACUACAAAGAAUCCCAUAAACAACUAUUGCAUCAUUAAUUUUUUUUUUUUUUUUUGGGGUGUCUAAAUAGUGCUCCAGGUUCUAGCCAUAUGUUUCCAGCCCAGUCCUCGCCUGCAAGCAAAUUCAACUCUGGCCUAGUCAGGUUGGUGCGCGCGACAGAGGAGGAUGACAAGAUUCGUAAUAGGGAUGCGUUCAACUCAUAAAUCCCUCGAAAGAAAAACAAACGCAUGAGAAACGAGGCAAUGGAAUUUUUGGUUCUUGACAUUUAGCAGACGCAGAAUUGUUAUUUUCACAAAAGUUACAUUUCAUUUUGAAUCAGACACUAUUGGCAGAGAGUCGGUCGUACUUGUACCAAUUUGUAUUAAAAAUAAAUGAUGUCCUACAGCUUAUCUUCAGAAUAAUCACUUCUUGGUAUAAGUGACGGAAAAUCCCCUUCGGCGGGCGGUUAUAUAUAUACUAUGUAGACCUAGUUAAGUUUAAUAGUAUACCGUCAGAGUUGUCGAGGAGUGAGCCACAAUGUCCGAACUCCCAGCCAUUGCUAGUUCUUGUCCCUGCAAGUUUGAAAGUAUAUACAUUACCAGAUCACUUAGAUUUCAGGGAAUUCUACCAUUGUCUUCUUCUCAGACGAUCAUUCCUCAUCUAGCACUGCAUGCUUCCUGCACAAACUGCUCAGGCUGCCAUAUGUUUUAACGACUACUUGAUUUGAUCCUAUUGCAGCUUUGCAGAUGUCUGUAGCGCAGAUAUCCGAAGCUCCAGGUUCAUGUUCCUGCCCAAUCAUUUCCUUCCUUCUUUCUGGGGUCAAAAAUGUCGCUCGCAUCCUUCAGCUAAUUAAUCAAGAGGAAUGUCGUCUCAAACCACAAAAAAUCUCAGCAUCCAAGACCUCUAAGAAUGCCACUGAGUUUAUAAAUUACCCCUGGAGGAUCUGCAUAUGACUCAUCCAGAUAAAUAGCAUGGUACUCCAAUCCUUUCCACUUGGCAAUUAGGGCAAAAUGGGGGCGCCUGUAUUCACUACUGACAAUCUCAAACACUACUGUCCUUGGCGUAGCAGAAACUAUGUGAGUUAGACCUGCCCCAUGAGCACCGGCUAUGACUGAAGCAUCUUGAAUGGCCCGAACUUGCUCUUUCAUGGACAUGUGAGCAAAUAGACCGUUUAUUAUAUUCAAUUUGCAAGCUGAAUGAUUUGAUGCCCAGCCCUCUAUAGAAUUAAAAACUUGUUCUUCAUUACUAAGCCUUGAUUGUACCUUACCACCAUGACGUGGAUGGGCUAAAUAAUCCUCACGUCUAACAAAGAGGACAUUAAGACCCGAAACAGGCCUUGAGUUAUGAUGUCUAUCAACUGGAAAACCAAAUGCUGCUCUUAUCAUCUCCCCGAACUCAGACAGACGAGCAGUCUUUUUAUCAUCUGGGUGUUGCCAUAGUUCACGUGCAGAAGCACCGUUGCAAUCUAUGUCUUCAGAGAGUCCCUUGAACCAUGCAGUUUCAUAUCCCAAAGGUGCAAGUAUCGCAUGGCGGAAACAGACAGGACCACGAAAGCUUUUGGCAUAUCUAAUGCUAGAAAACAAUGCAUUCCAGGUUUCUUCCAACUGUGCCUGAAAAGUUUUGUGAAAGGAAUUAUCUUAAAUGGAAAACUUUCAGUGAAUUAAUAGACCACUACAGUAACACUGGCAGAGGCAAUCAUAGCAACCUUGGCAUGCCAGUAUCUGGUCAUUACGUCCUCAAAUUGGUUUUAAACUUUUAACAUGUUUCAUCUUCUAUUGUUGGUGGCAUAAACUAACUUCUAGAGAUGUUUAUUUAUUUAGAGCAUUAUUGAAGCAUGUUCUCCUGCAUCUAUACAUGUCAAAAACAUCCACAAUGCCAAUAAAAUUGAACGCCCAAGCACAAAAAGAGAGAAAUGGAUGUAAUCAGUAUUAAUGCAGUGUAAUAUUGAAAUUAAGAACGUCUUCCGCAGGCAACAGCAAGAACAGCAGUUAUUGAGGGAACAAGAAGAAAGCAGAGGAACGCCAGCUUCUGGAAUGAAGAAAUUGGUCAAUUUUAGUAAUAAGAUUCUGCACAAGACUUUCCAAAAAAGAAUAAAAAUGGUAAUAUGGAACAAACAACAGAUAACAAGCAGCAAUAUAUUUGCAUGAAUAUUGGCUCAACAUGUCCAAAUGCAUUUCGGUGGAGUUCAUCUCCAAGAAAUGGCAGACACAUAUGAUCAAGUCCAGGCUAACUGCCAGAAAAAGAUAAAAAAAAGUCCAGGCUAACCAUUUAUUCAACUACUGAACUGCUAUGAAGAAGCACCAUAAUUUUAACACAUCCAGAAAUUUGAAAGCAGCAUGCUGAAAACUAAGUCUUUUCCACUACAACUCUUCAAGCCAGUUAUUCUAAGAGUCUGAUUUUGAAUAUGCUUGAUGUCAAGAAAUCUAUAGUUUAAAACUCCUGCAAUAAGUUCAAUGACUCCCCUGUACAUCUCAAGUGAUCCAAAAUUCACCUUCCCUGGCUCAUUUCAUGUUUAUCAAAUACUUAGUAGAGGACAAAAUUCUUGCAAUAACAAAUGCUACAAUGUCAUUUUUGCUAGAACUAUGUUAGCCUGAAUAUUCAUACCUUGCAAUGGCCAUCCACGAAAACUAUAUGAGGUCGAUUGGGCAAUCCAGUAACUCUAGAAGCCACAUAUGCACUGUACCAAUCUGUGAAGGUGUGAAAAACAUUUGCAUACUCGAAACGUGUAACCAAAACCGUAGGCUCCUCAACCCACUGAAAGAAAACGUAACAAAAUGGCUAAGAUUAAGAAAAAUGUGAUGGAUCGAUUGCAAAAGGCAAAAAAUGCAGAAAGCUCCAGCAAAAAUAAAACUCAUGCAGAUUUGAACAAUCUUACUUGCAAGCAUAUGAGUAUAGCAUUGAAACUUAAAUCAAGUAUCAAAGAGGAGAAAACGAUAUUGCCAGCAUUAUUCACAAGUUUGAUACUAUAACUGCUCGCUGCAAAUCUCAUUUAUCAUUUACAUCUCCGUCAUACAGCACCUCCCACAAACAUUCAUUGCAAGACUCAUUCUGAAAGUUCAAGAGGACUUCAAGCAUCUGCAAGAUGCUUCAUUUUUUGGUCCUGCCCCAGAUUAGAUCUCAUGUUAUCACAAAAAGACCCAGAUCUCAAUCCAGGUACACCGUGUUCCCAGAAUCAACUGAUGGAACUGACAGAUCAAUUGUUUAUUACACCACAUUAGACUCUGCAAGAAAAUUUGAUAAGGCAUCCAAAAAUGGGAGAAAUUUAUUCAUAUUGAUUGGAUUAGCUAGUUAUGAGUUCAUUUAUUAAAUCAGGGAUAUCGAUUCAUUAAUUAUGCAGAAUCUUUUUUGCAAAUUUGGUAAAAAAUCAUCUGUUCUUUCCUUUUUUAACAAAGAUCAAAACUUUAAUAGAUCAAACUGAGAACCCAAAUUAAAAAAAAAAAAAAAAUCUGAAGGCUAACCUCGGAACAAUUUAACUCAUUAGGCCCAACUAACUCAAUCGAAUCGACCAACUGACGCAUAGUAUGCCUAUGAAUGGCACCAUUUGGUAAGUAAUUAUUCAAAAAGUCUACAUUCACAAGUUUCUUCCCUAUUUUAGACCUUUCGAGCACUUCAAUCUGGAAAGCACCGGGUUUAAAUAACGGCAAUUCUUCCUCUUCCCCUCUUCCAAGCACCAUCUCCAACUCUUCCCCUCCUUUAGACAUUACAAUUUUUUCUCCAAUCAUCCGAAUUUGUCCUCCCUCGCAUAUAGAGCUAAGCAGCGUUUGACUAUAGUGACACCUAAACCAUCCGCCCCCGGCAGAGUUAUCAGAGACGGAUUUCCGGUGAGACUCCGGCGAGAGUUUGAGGGCAUCGACAAGCAGAGUGAAGCCAUUCCCGAAAUAACCCUCGCAAGAUCGGACCGGCACCUCACGAUUAUGGGACCAGGGGAGGUAGGAGGGGAGACUUGGCCAGGGUUUCGCAGUAGCAGUGAUGGACACAUGGGAGUUUGUAUGAUUCCGGGUAAAGUGAGGGUUGCUUCUGUUGGGGAAAUAGUCGGGGUGGGAGGAGAAGUAAAAGUAGAAGUAGAGAGUGACGGAGUUGAGGGCGAAGAGGAAAAGAACUAUUUUUACUCUUUUGGCCUUCAUUAUCAUCAUUGGACGACGGGAUUUUAGGCUUUGGAAUUUGUUUUUCAGCUGUUGCCGCCGUGGGGGUUCACCUGAGGAUUAAGUGACGAACCCCAUUGGCGAUUGUGCCGUGGCAGUUGGGACCCUGCUUGCUCUCUUUCCAACUCGGCAGUUCUUGCUCGCUUGCGUGUUUGGGAUUGGGAGGGGACUUAUUAUACCACCUAUUAGUCCUAGGAGCCACUUCCAGCCCUCGACCAGGCAUGGUAAGUUGGAAAAGCUCCAGCUUGUUCAUGCUUUUACUGGUUUAACUUUUGAGUAUUUGGAGAGCUACUAUUUGGUUAAAAAUUAUUUACUUACAUUAUAAAUAAUUUUUAAUACAUCUAUUUAUCUUUCCGAUCACCUUCUUAUUUCAUAUAUACAACAUUAUUAUAAAAAGUGCUUCAAUAUUUAUUUUAAAUAAUCUCCGAUCCAAACACUUGGAAUCUUUUUACUCUUAAUGGAUCAAGUAUUGGCAGAAUAAGGGUGGAAGAUAAUCAAAUUACUCAACAGUCGAGUCUAAGUUGAGCUUAGUAAAAAUUCGUUUGAAUUUGAUUCGUCAAUUAGUUAAAUUAAACUUGAAUAACACCUCAUGUUUCGUAACUUUGAAAAAAAAAAAUAAAAAAGUUCGAACUUGAUUCAACAAAUAAAUCAGUCAAACUUGAAUAAAAUUUCAAGUUCUUUAAAAUAAAUCAAAUAAACACGAAAGUUUAUAUUUGAGAAGCAUAAAUUCAUUACCACUCUUAAGAUUCCAUUAAUCUUCGAACUGAAGUUCGGUAAGCGUUGUGCCAAUACAGGGAUUUAGUGGAUUGUGAUUAGUACAACUAGGCAAAAUGCGGAAACUCAGGGUCCUAAAUACUCGAAACAAAAGUGAAGCAUUUAAGCAUUGUGCAAGCUUGGAACUUUUUCUUAUUUAUAUUUUUUGGAGAAAAAUAUAAAUGCGAAUACUGUGGAAGACGAGGCACUAUUCACCUAUGCCAUGGAAGAAUUGGUUGCCUCUAAUCAGAGGACAAGAAGAGGAUGGUAGGGUACAGCGUACCACCAGAUUAUAGAGCGGUUUUGUUGACCAAAUUUUGAUUCCUGGCGUCUGGAUUUCUUUAAGCCAGAUCACAGGGUCAAAAUCACGCAUACAAUACAACUACGUACACAAGUGGGAUCCAGACGUUCUGCCGGAAACUGUACAGCAUUUAACUUGAAUAUCUGCUCGAAAGGGCAUAUGGACUCUAUGGACAGCAUUAAUCAAACUAGAAAGUAAGUAGUACUCAGGAUACCUUUUACUUUUCUGCUAGGUAUUAGGCCACGAAUUUUUGUCAGGAAUUUCUGCCUCGCAGCCUAGUGACAGCUGCUCUAUUUAUUUUGCUAGGCAAGAACGAGUGCAUUAGCAGCGCACGGCCAUGCAUAUGGCAAUAUGGCAUUGGUUUGUUUGUUAAAAUCCCGCAUCCCAUUCUUUGAAAAAAAAAAGAAGAAGAAGAAUCAUUGAACCCACAAAAAGGGACUGUAAAGGUGUAAAAAUAUUUGCUAUCAUUUGCUUUGACAGAAUAUAGUGGAAGCAUGGUACAUUGCCAUUAGUAUAAAUGACAUCCAUCAUCUACAAAAAGUGUUGCAGCGGAUAAUAAUGAUACGCGUGGCAGUAGUGUGUUUAUGUUUCCUGACUUCCUCUCCUUCUGGCUUCAAAAACAAAAGAAUGCAGAAUGAAUAUGCAGUAAUUCAUCAAUAAUCCAGACCACGGAUUGAUGCAGAUCUCCAAUGCCUAGCACUCUCAAAACCAUUCGUACAAUUUUCAAAAUCUUCAAUGGUUUGAUCAAUCUCUUCUUGAGUGUUCAUUACAAAAGGCCCAAAUUGGACUACUGGUUCACCUAAUGGCUCGCCCCCAACUAAAACGAAUCUCAGGGGCUUUGAGGACUUGUUCCAUGCCUCAAGGCCAUCGCCAGAGCCUAGAAGAAGAAGAUUAUGAGCUGUUACUGGAGAAGACCUCGAGUGGCUGAAGGUGCCUUCCCCUUCCAGGACGUAUACAAAUGCAUUCCAGGACGCAGGCACUGGUUGCUGAAGAUGAGCUCCUGGCUUAAGGGUGAAGUCCAAGAACAUGGUUGGGGUCCUUGUGUAGACAGGAGAUGUAAUUCCCAUGGCCUCUCCUGCUAUAACUCUGACUUUGACCCCAUCUUUUGCUGCCUCUGCAAUGUCCUUGCUCAUCAUUUCUUGAUAUCUUGGCUCAACCCUUUUGGCAUGAGAAGAGAUAAUUAAUAUUUGAUGCAUUUUAAGUUCUUAAAGUCCAAUGUCAAAAAGUACGAAGAUUAUAGAUUACUUUCUAUAUAAGUGCAGCAGAAUCACUAGCUUUUACCAUAUCAGUGAUCUUCAUGUUUUAAUAUAAAGCACAUAAAUCACAUGGCAAUAACAUUAAUUAUAGGCGCACACACAUUGCUGAACAAUUAUGGCAAUGAAUCAUCAUGUUUGUGGGCAAUGAAUCAUCAUGUUUGUGAGCAAUGAAAGCGUUUACAUUCACAUUAUUCAUGAAGUUUCAUUAUAAUUCACUCAAAAACUUCUUCUUUACCCAGCAAAACUCAAAAACCUUCUUUCUGUUAAGGUUUAAAAGAUAUUUUUGUGCAUCUACAACUUCGCUGACCCUUUUUAAAAGCAAUAAAACUUACAUUUUAUUUCUAGAGCAGAGAUUAAUCCAUAAUUGUAAACCUCGUUGAGUUCCCUGAGCUGCUGGCAUCUCUGAAUGAACUAUUCCUCUUCCAGCAGUCAUCCACUGUAAAUCACCUUCUUUGAUGGUACCUUUAUGUCCUUUAAAAUCUUCAUGCGUCACAGCUCCCUGGUGUCAAAAUGCAAGAACUUUUUCAAUAUCGCGAACACCACCUAUUUUGAACAUACAUAACGGUUUGUUUUGCUUACUAAUGGGUAAAAAUGAGCACUGUAGGUGAGCAACAUACGUGCAUCAUGACUUAACCGGAAAAAAAAAAGUGUAUCAUGAAACAAAUAUAUUUCUGGCAGGCCGAAAGUUAGCUAGUUUGCCCGCAAAUUAGUGGUUGAAGAAACUGAAAGUCUUCAGUAUUUAGUAGUAAAAUUGUGAUUUUUGGUCUCAGUUACUGACAACAAGACUUGAAAUUCUAUUUGUCUUAGCCAGGCAGGCGGCAGGCCGCAGGUGCUUGAUGACAUAUUUGACAGUAGUAUUGCCUUGAUGAUCACCUUGUUUGCAACUUGACAUGGAAAGCCGGGUCCUAUCCAGCUAGCUUAAGAAAAGGGUUACCUAUUGCUUUCAUUCAAGUGACGCAAUGGCUACCAAUUCAUUAAUUUACUUACAAUUGCGGCAAUUAGAAAUUCACUGCUUUCUUUGAUCUUAAGGAUCAAACAGUGGUCACAAUAUUCUUCUUGGCAGUGAAGGAGAAAAAAGUGCUUUAGUGCAUCCGUUGCACCUUAUUUUGUUUUUCCUAUUGACGACAGAGUAAUAGGCAAGAUAGCCAAAACUAUUUGGUAAUAUAUCAAAAUGGAACUAGCAGGAAAUGAUACAAGUGAUGAAGCUCUACCUGCAACAUGUAGGUGACUGUUUCAAACCCUGAGAAAACAGAAGUGAUAAGAUCAGAAUUCAGAACUAAAAUCCAGUGGCAGACUUUGAAUUUGCAGUCAGAUAUUUCAAGAGUCUGAUGAAAUGCUUUCAAGUGUCUAAAUGCAGACCUCUAUGCGGAUGAUCAGGAAAUCCACCUGGAGCAGAGACUGCAAUGCGACGAAGAGAAGAAAAAUAGGAACAAAAACUUGAGUAAUAUGAUAAAGGGACUAAUGGAUUAGCGUUAAAAAACCAAUCUUGCACAAAAAUGAUCUAACUGAGAAAAAAAAAAUCCACCUGAGAAUUCGUCCAAAGCAAGGAAAGGAUCAAAAUACUUCAACUCAAACCUGACCAAAAAAAAAAAAAAAAAUCUUUACAAGCCAGACAGCACAAAUGAUGACAAUUAACAUGCAGUAUGGUUCUUUUACAUGCAUAAAACGAGACCAUCGAAGGAAUACCUUCCAAUGCUUCUUCUGACAAUAGCGCCAAGGCCCUCAGGCUGAGGCCUUGCAAGAAAUUUUCUGACAACAGGGCGAGCUUCUUGAACAGCACUGUUGUAGGACAUUGUUCUUUUUGCUUUUUUAACUCCUUUCUUUUGCCUGUUGAGUUAGCAAGUUUUUUCGAGAGAUGGAACGGAAGAAUUCGAAAAUGGAAUGGAAGAAAAAUCGGAGGUUUGUGAAGGGUAUAAAUAGGGAGGGAACAGAGACAGAAAAGAGGGGGGGAAGUUCGUUAGUCCGACUGUAUUUGGAGGGUCAAAGGGGGCAAAGGUGGCGGCCCACAUAUGAACUUGCUUGAGAUCCAGGGACUCUUUUUUUUUUUUUCUUUCUUUUCAUUUUUGUCCAUGUGAUGUCAGCAUAGCGUUAUGAUUAUGUGGUAAUGGAUCUUGUGAACUACGGUGGUUGCCUCUGGCCCUGGUUUCCGCUUGAUGGAUGGAUAAAUGGAGAUGGACCAUGUGGCUGGCCAGGGCCCAAGGCGGCAUUUUCUUCCCACCUUAUGUAAUUUCCUUUUAAUUUUAUGACGUAAUUUUUACAAAUUUUAUUAUUGUCUCUCAUUCUACUUCUAUAUUUUUUCUUUUGUGAACACAAUACAAAGCAAUUUGUUUUUAGAUGUGUGUUAAUAAGGGCUUGUCGUGCUAAUUAACACUAGUACUACAGGCACACCCAUGCGCGUGCAAUUUAAAAAUAAAUUGGUUUUUAUGAAAUUUUCUUUAACGAAUUGAUAGUUAUCUUGGUAAUUAAGGGUUAAUGGAUAAAGUUAACAUCAAGUUAACUAAGGAUUAAUGGAUAAAAUUAACUCCAUAGAUGCUUUAUUAACGUAUACAUAUCAUCGGUCCGAAUUUUCAUCCGUCAUCUUUCUUCUGUAAAUGUUACCAGAAUCUAGGGCCAAAGUUUACCAUUUUCUGUAGAGAAAGGAAAGGAAAGGAAAGGAAAUUGUGAGAGAUCUUGUGACUUUAAGGUGUUGCCAAUGCUUGAUUAGGAACAAAAUUGUUUUCAUAUUGAUUUGACCCCUUAGCGGCCAUGCAUAUGAAUAGUAAAUGAAAAACAUUUGAUGAGGAACUGAAAAUGCUCUGAAGGAUUUGAUUUAUGGGCGAAAAAUCUCUUCUACAGUUCGUAGCGACGGGCUGAUGGAGUUGGAUGACAGGAGAAAGAAAUAGAGACAUGCAACCGUUGCUCGGUUCCUCUUGAAUUAGAAAAGGCAAUGAGCGAAUAGCGCAAGGGAAAACUUGUGGGGCCAAACCAACCAACGAUUUUUGCCCCUUUGCCUUGGUGUCCUUUUCUAGUUUUCUGUGGCCCCAUUUCAAAUCCCAGAUACUUUGCCACACUUCAUUGAAAGCGUUAGGACCAAAGAAAAAAAAAUUAAGCUGAAAGGAAAUCAAUGGUCUUAAUAGUGGACACACGCAUCCUUUUGCUUCCAUGAGGAAAAAUGUGACGUCUUGAAGGAAUAUAUAUAUUAUCGUUACUCAAUUUUUUUACUAUAAAAUUAUUUUAAUUAUUAUAAGUGAAAGAUUUUGAACCGAAACCGUUAUUUACAAACUCUUCCCUCCCCCGUCCUAUCCUGCUAAUAGCAACCCUCAGUCUAGAAUCCCCCGAUGUUUUAAACAAUAACGAAAAACAAAAAAAAAUUAAAAGAACAAAAGGUCAUUUCAUUUGCUACAGAUUAAUAAAAAAAUGAAUUUGUAUGGUGUUGGAACAGCUGUCUGAAUAAAUAACAACCGAAUCAAAGCCGUCCAAUGAAUACGUUGAGAUACCAAUAGCGGGUUUCGAGAAUCAAGAAGCGGGACCAAAUUGACCAGCUGCUAAAUUCUUUUUUUUUUUCUAGUUGCGGGGGCCGUCGAGAGGGUUCUCUAUCCGUCUAUCGUAUCGUAUUGUGGGGUGGGUCCGGCUGUGAAGCCACCAUGAUCACCUAGGAGUGGACCAUGCAACGCGAGAAAUGAUGUAGUGACAACGUAGGACUUAGGUUGAGCGGCUUGCGAAGAAUGACGUAGUUAGUACAAAAGCAUGACGAGUUCAAUGCAUUUACAUAGACGAACCAUAUUGACAUUUUUAAAAAAAAUUCCUUUUCUUUUCUAUAUUCUAAAUUUCUGUCCGCUUGGGGUGUGCGUUUCUCUUUAGUGCGUGUGAGCUCUGAGUGCUUAGGUUUGUCCCACAUCGAACUUGGGAGGGGGAUUUGGGUAGUUUAUUAGGCUCCUCAGGAACCACAAAAGUUGCCGGCUUUUGUGGUUUCCUGUGGAUUAAGUUUAGUAAAAUGCAAAAGUCAUUCUGCUGACUAGAAAAAAAAGACAAACUGUCCGCUUGGGGUGUGCGUUUCUCUUUAGUGCGUGUGAGCUCUGAGUGCUUAGGUUUGUCCCACAUCGAACUUGGGAGGGGGAUUUGGGUAGUUUAUUAGGCUCCUCAGGAACCACAAAAGUUGCCGGCUUUUGUGGUUUCCUGUGGAUUAAGUUUAGUAAAAUGCAAAAGUCAUUCUGCUGACUAGAAAAAAAAGACAAACUGUCCGCUUGGGGUGUGCGUUUCUCUUUAGUGCGUGUGAGCUCUGAGUGCUUAGGUUUGUCCCACAUCGAACUUGGGAGGGGGAUUUGGGUAGUUUAUUAGGCUCCUCAGGAACCACAAAAGUUGCCGGCUUUUGUGGUUUCCUGUGGAUUAAGUUUAGUAAAAUGCAAAAGUCAUUCUGCUGACUAGAAAAAAAAACUAGGUAGAAAUUGGAAUUUUCUUUGUUUCUAUCAACUAAUGUUAUAUGUAUUCAUUCUCUAUUUUUAAUUAAUUCUACUUUUU
rnacentral:lncRNA from 1 species